rnacentral:rRNA from 1 species
GCUUGUCUCAAAGAUUAAGCCAUGCAUGUCUAAGUAUAAAUAACUACACAGUAAAACUGCGAAUGGCUCAUUAAAUCAGAAACUGUUUAUUUGAUAGUGCCUACUACAUGGAUACCUGUAGUAAUUCUAGAGCUAAUACAUGCAAAAAGCCUGGACUUCUGGAACAGGCGUAUUUAUUAGAUAUACAAACCAACCGCUUCGGCGACCCUUGGUGACUCAUAAUAACUUCGCGAAUCGUUUUCGGACGAUGAUUCAUUCAAGUUUCUGCCCUAUCAUGCUCUCGAUGGUAGUGUAUUGGACUACCAUGGCUCUCACGGGUAACGGGGAAUUAGGGUUCGAUUCCGGAGAAGGAGCCUGAGAAACGGCUACUACAUCUAAGGAAGGCAGCAGG